UUAAUAAUGCAAUCGGAUGAACAGCUGAUAAUCAGCGAUAAUCUCUUCUCCGUUGUGUAGAUUUACUCGAGCCGAUCACACGUCCGGCUCCAGUUUCUAGGGCUUGGUUUAGGAUUUUGAAUUGUUUUAGCUCGGAGGUCUAUGAUGAAUGCAUUGUCUAUUAGCUGUGUAUUUCAUUUUCUGUUGGCUAUGGUGCUGGAAUGUGAUGUGUGAAUCUUUGAGUUUUGUAGUUUAUGGAAGUAAGAUAGUCAAUCAGGGCGGGCGUAAGCAUUUUCACUAUGCAUCCGAAGGGAUCGAGUCAAGGAGAUGGUUCGGAUACUAAGCCCGUUAGAAGCAGCGAUAGGCUUAGGAGGAGACCUAAAUUGUAUGGUCGCUCAUACUAUUACUACUCGCCGAACUUGCAUAACAGGAAAAGAAACACGAAGACUAGAACGGCGGCUUCGCAGAUCGCUAAGAUGCUGCAUAAAGGGAACAAGCCAGCUCGGGCAUCGAACGCCACGGUGAGCAUCAUACACCAACGUUAAGAAGAGUUAAUGUUAUUUAGUUUACUGCAAUUAAGAGCAUUUCUACUUCCCCUGAGUAUGAAGUUUCACUUUGAUCAUUUUAAUCCAACGAUAGUGGCUUUUGUUCUAUUAGUGACCUGUAUUGCAUACUGUUUAUCUUGGUCUGAUUAAACUAGAAUGUUGAUAACAUUGCUAAUGACGAUACAGCCAAUUGCAUCCGACCUCCGGCGUUCCACUAGGAAGAGAAGACUUUCUGUAAAUCUUGAAGACUAUACUGACAGUUCUGGAGGGGAGGAUGAAGAUAUGAUGGUCAGGAUAUUUUCCUCUUGAUUAUUUUAAACCCUUGUAAAUAUGAAUUUUGUUGGUAAAUUCUUUAUCCCCAUCUCUGAAGAUAUCCAACUUUGGUUGUUAGUUGUUACUCUUUCUCUGCAAUUUUGGAUUGCAACCUUGUUUCUAUCUGAUGUCUUAGUAUUUAAUCCUGUGAUGGAAGUGCUAAUGAAUGCAUCUUUAUAUGUAUGAAUGAAUCUUUAGGCUUUGCCUUAAUGCAUGGACAGCUCACGGGGAAAGAACUGGUGGUUUUUAUGCCUGCAACCGGUAUGAGUCGGCUAAGCAAGAAGGACUGGUAGGACCACUUCUACUUCUUUGAUAAUUUGUAGUAGUAUUUUCUGUAAGUUACUUAUGACUUUUAGUACUUUGUUUGUUGAUAUCAAUUGAAUUGUUCGUUUUUAGUAUGAUGAGGCUGAAAAGAGGAGAGAGAUGGCAAAAAAUUCACUCGAGAGAUACACUCAUUAUUAUGAACGCUGGGCAAGUAAUCAGACGGUAUGCACAAUUUUUUUAUACUUAUCCCUUAAGACACUUGAAACCUUAAAGUGUUGUAUACGCUCUACUUUUGUUUCUAAGAUAGAGAAUCAUGAGAUAUUUUGACUUCCGGCUGUGAUAAAUAGCAUUGUAAUGAGCUUUGACAAGAUAAAAAAAAUUUGUAGCAUGUUGGAGCUAACUUGAUUUUUUAUUUGGUUUUCCUUGUUUGUGAGCAUCGAAAAUGUGAAACAUGUGAAGGGUGUGGUUGAGUAAUCGCUUUUUACUGACAUGUAUCUUCUAGUUUAUAAGGUGAACCAACUAAUGUAUUUUUAGGCUAUUAACAGCCCAUUAACUAGAUAAGUUUAGAGUCUCGUUUCUUACUUGGCUGCAACACUUGCAAGACAUUAUAUUCUAUACCUAUGUCAAGAGAUUUCUCGUCUUCCUUUCAUAUGUAUUUACUUGCUUGUCUGAUUUGGCAGUCGAGGCAAAAAGCUGUGGAGGAUCUGCAGAAAGCGCAAUUGGAGAAGGUAAAAAAAUUCUAUGGAGUGGAAGAAUGAUUUGAGCUAACAGCUAAUUUCAUUUGCAACACCAAAUUGUAUCCAGACCUUUAAUAGGAACUGCAGUGUUGUUACAUUGUUGAUUUUGAUUUGAAUUUGUGGUGCUCAAAUGCUGUUGUCAAAUUUUUCUUGUUGUUUUGCUAGCUUGAGAAGCUUAGUGACAUUCAAUGCACUCCAGAAUCUCAGCUGAAGUUCAUCACAGAGGCGUGGCUUCAGGUUAGCAGCUAAAGUAUUAAAUAACUAUGACAUUUAUGUACCACAUCUCUCUGAAUGUUCCCCCUCCAUUAUACCUUUACAGAUCAUUGAAUGCAGACGUGUACUGAAAUGGACAUAUGCGUAUGGAUACUAUCUACCUGAUCACGAUAAGAAACAAUUUUUCGAAUACUUGCAAGGUCAGAGUCCUCAUUAGUUGAUUCUAUUCUGGGAAAGCUAGUUGUGUCAGUGAGCCAUUGAAGUUUGAAAUUUUGUCUUGAUGGUUUGAUCAGGGGAGGCUGAGUCAGGUUUGGAGAGGCUCCACAAAUGCGUAGAGAAGGAACUGGAGGUGUUUUUGAAUGCUGAAGGCUCUUCAGAUAACUUCAAUCAUUUCCGGACAAAGUUAACUGGUUUGACCAGGUGAUUGUUCUUCUUGUCUUUUAAUCAAUUCAGACAGAUGAAGAUAGACUCUUAUGCUUACUUAGGAUGAGUAACGUUUAGAUCAGUUGUUCCAUCUCUGUAGUCAGAUACUGUCAUAGGUUUAGAUGAACUAGUUGAGACGUUUUAACAACCAUAUAAAAUGCUAACUGCAAUGGCUUGUAUAUUUGUAUAAACAGCAUAACGAAAACCUACUUUGAAAAUCUGGUGAAAGCUCUGGAGAAUGGUCUUGCUGAUGUGGAUGCUACGCAAGGGGCUAGCAGCAAAUCAACAAGCUCUAAAUCUAGCAAGACAAAAGGCGGUGGGAAAGGUAAAGGAAGCUACAAAAGUAAAAACUCAGAUGGAAAUUGAGAUCUCUCUCAGGUUCCAGUUACAAUCCCUCUCUAUAGUGUGCCAGCUCACUUGGAAGUAAAAGAAAAGACUUUUUAAGAGUUAGUUGAGCAAAAUUGGAGAAAGGAUUGGGGUUUGUUGCAGUAUUUUUACAGUAGCCUCCUCUGAGUUUGAAGGCACACUAUUGCACACACAAGUGAACUGUCUUUCUCUGUCUUAUGAGUGUGCAAUAGUUUAUUAUAAACUACCCUAAAUGUUGUAUAGUAUAAAAGAAUAUUCACAUUGUUACGUUGGCUCUUUGAUUGCCUUUAUUGGCUUUCUCUGCUAAUGCAAUGUCUAUGAACACCAACUGGAGUGUCUUUUGUCUGAAGUUUCUCCAUGUCGAGAAAUGCAUCUUUGUAUUAUUAGUCUCUUCAAAAACAUCUCAAGAAAGUUCAAAAUCUGCUACUUUCUGUGGGUUGCGUUACAAUAAUAAUAUUUUCCUACAAUAAAUAACUGUUUCUAUGUGAUAUAUAACCAAACCUUUGGGUUUAAGAAGUGUUGUUAAUCAUCAUAUUAAUUUAAGGUAACUAUUAGUUCCUUAUUUAAAGUUAUAGGGUCAAUAUAUAAUAUAAGAUAAUAUUGAGGGAGCUAUUUCUAAAUAAUUCAAACUUGUAAGGAGAAUAUCCUCGGACUAGGAAAGCCAGGGAUAGAGAUAUCCUGACUUCCAAACAGGGAGUGAGGGAAACAAAAUUUAUUAAAGCAGCAGCCGGAAAAAAAAACAAAAAAACAAAAAGAAAGAAAGAAAAAAAAAAAACGCAAGAAGAAGAAGAAGAAGAGCAACGAAGACGAACCAGUCUCCCACUGUCACGCCUCUCGAUCUUUCUCCCCUUUCACCUUCCUCCAAUCUCCAGGUUCUUUCGCGUCUUCACGUCUAUCACCAAUCCGUUACGCUUGCUCGAUUUCGCAUUAUCUCUCCGUUUGCUUGAUUUUGGCUCCUCUUUGAGCUCUGUUAGCUUAAUAAUGCAAUCGGAUGAACAGCUGAUAAUCAGCGAUAAUCUCUUCUCCGUUGUGUAGAUUUACUCGAGCCGAUCACACGUCCGGCUCCAGUUUCUAGGGCUUGGUUUAGGAUUUUGAAUUGUUUUAGCUCGGAGGUCUAUGAUGAAUGCAUUGUCUAUUAGCUGUGUAUUUCAUUUUCUGUUGGCUAUGGUGCUGGAAUGUGAUGUGUGAAUCUUUGAGUUUUGUAGUUUAUGGAAGUAAGAUAGUCAAUCAGGGCGGGCGUAAGCAUUUUCACUAUGCAUCCGAAGGGAUCGAGUCAAGGAGAUGGUUCGGAUACUAAGCCCGUUAGAAGCAGCGAUAGGCUUAGGAGGAGACCUAAAUUGUAUGGUCGCUCAUACUAUUACUACUCGCCGAACUUGCAUAACAGGAAAAGAAACACGAAGACUAGAACGGCGGCUUCGCAGAUCGCUAAGAUGCUGCAUAAAGGGAACAAGCCAGCUCGGGCAUCGAACGCCACG
rnacentral:lncRNA from 1 species